rnacentral:lncRNA from 1 species
AAAUUACCCACAGGAGUGGACACAUGAACACGAGUGCCCAAAGUCUUAGGAGAGAUAACCAAGAAUCGAGCAAACAGAGAUGAUACAUAUGAAUAAGUAGACCCUGGAUCGAACAAUACCAAAACAUCCCUUCCACCGAUGGAAAUAAUACUUUUGAUGAUGGCUCCGAGGCCAAUGCAUCUGGCUUGACCGGAAGUGCAUAGAAUCUAGCUGCAGCACUGGCUGGCUGGUCUCCAUCCGACUGAGCAGUAGCUAGUUGACCUCUCCCUGCCUGAACUCCACCUCUAGGAAGUCCCCUGCCGGCCUGCCCUCCACCUCUAGGUGGCUGGGUAGCUGGUGCUAAAAUCAUGGGCUGCUAACCUUGCUGCACUACCUUGCCUUGAAGUUUGGGGAAACAUCUCAUCAUGUGACCAGGGUCACCGCACUCAAAACAAUUACAUGGUACGACGACCUGCUGCCCAAAGGGCUGACUCUGAAAACCCAUAGAUGUAGUGGAAGAAGCCUGGAUAGCCGGUGGGCGGUAUGA